rnacentral:rRNA from 1 species
UACAGAGGGUGCGAGCGUUAAUCGGAAUUACUGGGCGUAAAGCGUGCGUAGACGGUAGCGUAAGUCAGAUGUGAAAUUCCCGGGCUUAACCUGGGGGCUGCAUUUGAUACGUGUGAUCUAGAGUGAGGAAGAGGGUCGUGGAAUUCCCAGUGUAGAGGUGAAAUUCGUAGAUAUUGGGAAGAACACCGGUGGCGAAGGCGGCGACCUGGUCCUUGACUGACGCUGAGGCGCGAAAGCGUGGGGAGCAAACAGG